rnacentral:misc_RNA from 1 species
UCGUACAAAAUGUGAGGGGCAUGCAAGGGCUGUCGCUGACUUCAAAGUCGUGCACGCCCGGGUGUGUCCCCUCACAUAAUAAUCCACCUCACCCUUUGUGCAUCACCGCGUGGGCACCCUUCGGGAUCAUCUCGGAGGGGGCUCGCGUUUUCACACAAACCCCCCCUUUUAAAAGUGUAGAAUGACCUCAUAUAUGCGCUAACCCGCAAUCAAUAC